rnacentral:lncRNA from 10 species
CGCACCCGGACACGGCGCUGGGAUGAAGGCGCCCAGUUCAUGCCCAGCCAGGGCCUGCAGGGACAACGGGAUGGUCACAGGACGGCUGCCUCAGCUCCAAACAGCAACAUCUGAAGGAGAAAGGUAGGAGACAGGUGCAGAAGGAAGCUUUCUCUCUGGGAAGAUACUCCUUUUCAUCUGGGAAAAAUAUUUUCCAUAGCAUCCCCUGGCCAAGUUUCUCCUACACUUUAUGGCAAG